rnacentral:rRNA from 1 species
GGACUACUCGGGUUUCUAAUCCUGUUUGCUCCCCACGCUUUCGUGUCUCAGCGUCAGUGAUGGUCCAGAAAGCCGUCUACACCACCGGUGUUCCUCCUGAUAUCUACGCAUUUCACCGCUACACCAGGAAUUCCGCUUUCCUCUCCCAUACUCGAGCCCUCCAGUUUCCGGCGCACCCUCCCAGUUGAGCCGGGAGAUUUCACACCGAACUUAGAGAACCGCCUACACACUCUUUACGCCCAGUAACUCCGAACAACGCUUGCUGCCUACGUAUUACCGCGGCUGCUGGCAC